rnacentral:lncRNA from 1 species
AUCAUAUCUAGAAGACAGUUCAUUGUUAGUGAUCAUGAAAAGAAAGACUUCUUAAAAAUAACAAGGGACCAUGAAAAACCAAUUCAACAGGUGCUAGAUGAUGCAAAGAAGGAUAACAUAAAAUUGAUCAGGAGCAAUGAGAAGUCAGGAGAUAGUACAAAGGACAUAACAGACAAUAACUACCCACCAUCAACGCUAUUUUACUGAAUAAUAUCUGAAAGACUAAUUAUUAUAUCUUCCUGCAUUUUUUUCUUCUUCAAGGUGCACAAUCUCAAUUCUUUUGAAAUUAUAUACUGGUAUUCUUUCCACUAUUACAGAAUCAUUUUUAUUUCUAUUAUCAGAAAUUUCUCUAAGGACCCCACCUAUCUUCUUCAAAAUUGGAACAGUUCUUCCACUAAUGACUGACAUAUUAAAAAUACAAAGCAGGCUCAAGUUAGGUGUGGUGGCACACACCUGUGAUCCAAGCUCUCUGGAGGCCUGAGGAGCUAUCCCUCCAUACCUGGCUACUGGAAGCCCUCCAUCCCUUACCCACUUACCUACCGAGGUCAUGAAGUUUCCACCUAAGAACUAUCAAGAGUUCCUAGAAAUUAAACCAGAUACUCCAAUUCUUAUUUGCAAGUACUGAGGUGAAUUAAAAAUAAGAAGAUUGUAUUGGCCUCAUUCCUUUGUGCCGUACCACCAACUUGGAACUCACUGUGCUUUAAGAAAAGGAAGCAUGGGAGACGAAGGAUGGACAGGCUGACAAAGGCUACCCUGACACCAGAGUGCACAAGGAAAGAGUGUGGGAUAUGCAAAGACUUCCGGGCCCCAUGCACAGAUCUGCAUCUUGCAGGUUUAAUGGAAGCUUCCAAGUCAAUGAACCAAGCCACUUGA